rnacentral:lncRNA from 1 species
ACACGCGAGCGGGGAGACCUCCAAGGCAGCGAGGCAUCGGACAUGUGUCAGCACAUCUGGGGCGCACAUCCGUCGAGCCCGAGGGGAGAUUUGCCGGAACAAUUCAAACUGCGAUAUUGAUCUUGGGGGUGACUGUCCCUGGCCGGCUGUCGGGUGGGAGUGCGAGUGUGCACUCGCUCGGAAGUGUGUGCGAGUGUGUAUGUGUGUGUGCCGUGUCGGGCUCCCCCCUUCCCCCCGUUUUCCCGUCGAGUGAUGCACUUGGAAUGAGAAUCAGAGGAUGGAAAUAGUCUGGGAGGUGCUUUUUCUUCUUCAAGCCAAUUUCAUCGUCUGCAUAUCAGCUCAACAGAAUUCACCAAAAAUCCAUGAAGGCUGGUGGGCAUACAAGGAGGUGGUCCAGGGAAGCUUUGUUCCAGGACUGUCAGCAAGUUACCUACCCAGCUCAGCUCCCUGGGUUCUUCAUCUGUAAAAUGGAGAUAAGGACUAAAUCAGCCUUGUGAGUUCCUUCUUUCUGGGGAUUGGUGAACUCAGCUUGGAAUCUUUGCUCUGUGGGGAAACGGCAGUCGCCAG